rnacentral:lncRNA from 1 species
UCUAGCUGUUUCCUAAUACUUGCUGCAAGUUCUCUCUGUCUGCUCAGCUCUGGUAAGGAGAAGUGGUGUCUGCCUUCAGGAACGGCAGAGUAACUCCCUCACUGGCAUUGAAGAUCGCUGGCCACAGGGAUGAUGGUGUCAGCCAACAGCACCUGCUCACUGUCAUGCUGCGUGCAGCCUCCUGUCUGUGCCCACGAGGUCUGAGGAGGCUGAAGAACUGGGACAAAACCCUUGCUCAACAGGAACUGCUGUUAGCUCUCAUGAGAAGACCUUCAGCUAGAAGAGGAUGAGACAGGGAAUAAGAAGGAGCAGCACAAAAAGGACAAAAAUCCAUCUGCUGUUCUAGAAAAGAUGAUAAAAGAAAAUCAAAUUCUAAGAAAAGAAGAUGCACCAUUGAAACAGAUGGUCCUGGCAGCAUUCAGUUUGGGGCAUUGUCAGAUAGAUGCCCAAGGAAGGCAAUGGGAAGUCUGUGCCUCCAGCGCGCUGGUAAGUGGUAGACCCGCUCUUGCUCUGGUGAGAUGAGGUGAGCAUGAGGACCUGAAGAAGCUGUGAGCAUCCUUUUGACUAGCAAACCCUGUAGCAGCCCCUAAACAUUUGGGUGUGGUGCCUCAGUACAGCUACAAUUCGGGGGUGUGCCAUUGGUGAGAUGCCAUUCUUCCGGUGCAACGAACAUCUCUGCUCAGUACCUGCUGGGUACAGCCUGCCGCUGGGGCACGGAAAGGCAACAAACCCCUUCCCUCUAAUUAGGGACACCUACAGAAGACUCUCUACUUUAAUUUUCAAGCAAGUUGCUAGUUAAUUCUGUUGAGAAUUAACAGAAUUGAUAUUUUCAUUAAAAAAAGAAAAAAGAAAAGUUUGAGUUCCUCACGGCUGUGGUUUGGCUGGCUUUUGGAGGAAGGAGAGACUGUAUAAAAAGCUUCACAGAUUUUUUUUUAUUCUUAAGGGCUGUGGCAGGGAAGAGGACAGCCCCACUCAGACUGCUCUUAAGGUAUUAGAGCUGUCAUCAGGUCUUCACUCUCGAAAGGCCAUUCAAGUGACA